GAGUUUGAUCCUGGCUCAGAACGAACGCUGGCGGCAUGCCUAACACAUGCAAGUCGAACGAGACCUUCGGGUCUAGUGGCGCACGGGUGCGUAACGCGUGGGAACCUGCCUUGAGGUUCGGAAUAACUCAGAGAAAUUUGAGCUAAUACCGGAUAAUGUCUUCGGACCAAAGAUUUAUCGCCUUUAGAUGGGCCCGCGUUGGAUUAGCUAGUUGGUGGGGUAAAGGCCUACCAAGGCGACGAUCCAUAGCUGGUCUGAGAGGAUGAUCAGCCACACUGGGACUGAGACACGGCCCAGACUCCUACGGGAGGCAGCAGUGGGGAAUAUUGGACAAUGGGCGAAAGCCUGAUCCAGCAAUGCCGCGUGAGUGAUGAAGGCCUUAGGGUUGUAAAGCUCUUUUACCCGAGAUGAUAAUGACAGUAUCGGGAGAAUAAGCUCCGGCUAACUCCGUGCCAGCAGCCGCGGUAAUACGGAGG
rnacentral:rRNA from 1 species